UACGAAGGGGGGCUAGCGUUGCUCGGAAUCACUGGGCGUAAAGGGUGCGUAGGCGGGUCUUUAAGUCAGGGGUGAAAGCCCAAGGCUCAACCUUGGAAUUGCCUUUGAUACUGAGGGCCUUGAGACCGGAAGAGGUCGGCGGAACUGCGAGUGUAGAGGUGAAAUUCGUAGAUAUUCGCAAGAACACCAGUGGCGAAGGCGGCCGACUGGUCCGGUUCUGGACGGCUGAGGCGCGAAAGCGUGGGGAGCAAACAGGG
rnacentral:rRNA from 1 species